rnacentral:rRNA from 1 species
AGGACGAACGCUGGCGGCGCGCUUAACACAUGCAAGUCGAACGUGAAGCCCGGGCUUGCCCGGGUGGAAAGUGGCGAACGGGUGCGUAACACGUGAGCAACCUGCCCCGAAGACCGGGAUAACAGCGGGAAACCGCUGCUAAUACCGGAUGCCCUCAUCACACCGCAUGGCGAGAUGAGGAAAUGGAUUCCGCUUCGGGAUGGGCUCGCGGUCUAUCAGCUUGUUGGUGAGGUAACGGCUCACCAAGGCUACGACGGAUAGCUGGUCUGAGAGGAUGUCCAGCCACACUGGGACUGAGACACGGCCCAGACUCCUACGGGAGGCAGCAGUGGGGAAUCUUGCACAAUGGGCGAAAGCCUGAUGCAGCGACGCCGCGUGCGGGAUGAAGGCCUUCGGGUUGUAAACCUCUUUCAGCAGGGACGAAGCGAAGGUGACUGUACCUGCAGAAGAAGCACCGGCUAACUACGUGCCAGCAGCCG